UAUUAUUUGCACAAUAUUUCCCUAGCCUU
rnacentral:piRNA from 1 species